rnacentral:rRNA from 1 species
GACGAACGCUGGCGGCGCGCCUAACACAUGCAAGUCGAACGAGCAAGAGAGAGCUUGCUUUCUUGAGCGAGUGGCGAACGGGUGAGUAACGCGUGAGGAACCUGCCUCAAAGAGGGGGACAACAGUUGGAAACGACUGCUAAUACCGCAAGCCAACGGUGCCGCAUGGCACAGCGGGAAAAGGAGCAAUCCGCUUUGAGAUGGCCUCGCGUCCGAUUAGCUAGUUGGUGAGGUAACGGCCCACCAAGGCGACGAUCGGUAGCCGGACUGAGAGGUUGAACGGCCACAUUGGGACUGAGACACGGCCCAGACUCCUACGGGAGGCAGCAGUGGGGAAUAUUGCACAAUGGGGGAAACCCUGAUGCAGCGACGCCGCGUGAAGGAAGAAGGUCUUCGGAUUGUAAACUCCUGUUGUUGGGGAAGAUAAUGACGGUACCCAACAAGGAAGUGACGGCUAACUACGUG